GCGCAGCAGUUCUAAGUAAUGUGGUCUCUUUUUAGAAUUGAACGGUUACUUUGAAGAAUUCGUUUUGUUUUUUGACGAUGUUUAUGCAAAGAAAUAUUCCAAAUAUAUUCAUGUUGAUCUUGUUCGUGUAACCUUUAAUUACACAAUGUUAUACUUAUACAUAACGUGAAAAAAUUUUCGUUCUCUAAAUGCACCACAUAUUCUAAAACUGAGAAUAGUUAGAAGACCUUAGACUCUGUGUCCAUUAAUAUUUAUUUGAAACAGUGCCUCCUUUAAGAAAGAAGCUGUUUCUCUUACACGAUUACGAAACAAUCAAGCAUCAGAUAUUCCCAAAAAGCUCAAGAAAGGACGAUGUUUCUCAAAACUAAACAAUGCGGUUUCCAGAUAGCUGUAGCGAUUUUUAUGAUUUACGGAAAUUUCUUCGAGCACAGUUUGAUAUCGGCGCCCCUCUUACCAGCUUUGGUUACAAUAUCAGCAGUGAGAAUUGUAGGGUCUAGGAUAACAAGUGCCCAAAGAGAUGUAGGUAAGUCCGAAGGCGCAAUACGGAGCUGUACGGUGGAUAUGGCAACACAGUCCAAUCAAAUUUUGCAAUGAGUUCCGUGGUCGCAAUACUGGUGUGAGGUCUGCUGUUCUCAUGUUGCAAGAACUGUAUCUUCGCGUGACGUUUCAGUGUCUGAUAGACCGAUUUCGAACUGGUACCCCGUAAGUUGUAGUUCUCGCCUUUCUCGAUGAUCUUACCAUCCUAUAGCGAAACUUUCACCAACAUUUGAUUUACUUUGACCGCUUAUUUCAACGGUCAAUUUCAACUACGCGUGCGAAGACAAAAGUGCCAUUUCGCGUGCUCCCGCGUCAAAUACUUGGGACACCUCAUCACACCACAAGGAGUUUCUUUAGAUCCGGAUAAAACCACCGCCACCUUACGUAUGCACGCACCCAAUAACCUCAAACACCUGAUGACCUUCCUGCACACCUGGUCUUUGUAUCGGCCUCUCCUCUCAGGACUUGCUGCAGUCGCGAAACCUCGCGUAUCCGUAUUAAAGAACGAUGAAGGGUGGGAAUAGGGGGAGAGCCAGCAGAGAGCUUUUGAGCAACUAAAAGUUCACGCCAGCGAUCAUUUUUCAGCAAUAAGGCUCUAGUAGUCCAUUCACGAUACACAUGGACACCAGCCAGAACGCCAUCGGGACUGUGCUUUCCCAAGGAAAGGGACCCGAGCAACACUAAGGCAAGUGCGUCAGCCCACCUCUUGCUUCAAGCAGAGGGGAACUACUCAACAAGCGAAAGGGAAACCCUGGCCGUCGUCUGGGUAACAGAAAAGUUUCGAGGAUAGAUGUAUGGGCUAACUGGUGACGUUAGCUACGGAUCAUCAACCUCUCCGAUUGCUAAUGGGGCUGAAAACAUCCAGCGGCUUUCUAUCCCGUUGAGUUCUUUACUACAACCGCUUCAGCUGCAAAUUCAGUACAUCCUGGGAAAAACUAACGCGGUAGCAGAGUCUCGACCACCGUGCGCUCCAAUUUGGACAACAAUUCAGCAUCUGUCUCGUCUCGAUCGACCACAGGACAUCAGAAAAGGACAGCUCGCAGACCCCGCAAUUAAGAAAAUAACCGACUGUUAGAAUAACCCGAUGGUGCCCCAGUGGGCUUCGUGCGAUGGGUUCUAUAGCGGCACUAACCCGAAUCCGAGGUUCGAACAGCACAAGUAAUCCCUCGAGAGGAACGAACCAACAUCCUCUGCUAGCUACUGUGGCGGAGACCGCACCCACCCUCGUAUAGCCACCCAUAAUCCGGGCACCUCAUUGAGGAAACAUCACGUCUCAACCAUCAGGGCAUUUAGAUGGAAACCCGAAGAAGGACCUCUCGGUCCAAUCCGGUGAAGAGGGCAUCCGCCCAAGAAAUCUACCAAUCCUGUCACCUUGUUGAGACGCCAUAGCAGCCAGAGAGGGACUCUGUAACAAACCUACUACCGCCACCUACAAAUUUGUAUAAUAGUUUGGUGCCGUUGACAAGUGCAGGGACCUUCUAGAACCCCGAAAUUGUUUCAAACUGAACGCAUUCACUUGCUAAGUCGAACGCCAGCCUCGAAAACGCCUAGCGGCGGACUCAAAUAUCUGUAUACGAUUUUUGAAACAGAAUAAUACUUCUUCCUAUAAUUACUUAUUCAAUGAUUCUUCCGAUCAUUGAAUAUAGACUUAGGUAUAGACUACGAAACAGGUACCGUUUACAUGGCCCACGAUUGAAAUGUAUAGUGUGUUGCCUACAUACACAUUUUUGUUCAUCUGAUACAAACCCAUAUCGUCCAGUCAAAUUAAGGUUUGGGCUGGAUGUUGUCACUUCAUUCAACGACACCAAGCGUAACCUAUGUAAAAAAAUCCGCUGAUUCCGAAAAUCAUAGUCCCC